AUGCAGAGGUGGAGGGAGAUGGAUGCGGAGCUUGUCGCCGCGGAGCGCGCGGUGGCGGCCAAAGAAGGUGUCGCCGACCGCCUCGCCGCCACACAAGCUCGGACAUCACGGCAAGGAAGUCGUCAGCUCCAGUCGGGCCGCCAUCAAGCCUUGGUGCUCGCAGGAAGCCCACGACCGCGGCGGGCGGAUCCCUUGGGCCGGCUUCAACUAGCUCCACGUCAACCUCUUUCCACACAACCAGAGGUGGAGGGAGAUGGAUGCGGAUCUUGUCGCCACGGAGCGCGUGGAGGCAGUGGAGAAGAAGGUGUUGCCGACCGCCUCACUGCCGCACAGGACGAGCAUGCCCUUGUCAAUGCGUGCCUCAAGUCCGUCGAGAAGUUCUACCUCGGCGUCGAUGAGUGGGCCGAUCGAUCUAGGUUUAAUUUGUAUCGCGAACUUUGUAUUUGCUAUGUAUCAACUAUGGUUGUGUGA
rnacentral:rRNA from 1 species